AUAUAGAACGCUGGAAUUUAAGCAUAGCACAAAGUGACAUUAGUUGUUUGUUUUUUUUACACAUAUACCAAAUGGUUUAAAAUAAAGAACGAUUACGAUAUGAUCUAAAAAGCUGUCGAUAUUUGUUCAGGUUUCAUAAAGUUUUCUGUUUGAUGGUCUCCUAUAGAUCAUGUUCUUCCGUGCACUCCGCAGUUUUUCUACUGAAUUGUUCCCAGGGAUUCCAGAACAUUCAUUUACAUCACUUUCAUUCUUUUAGAUAUAGUGGAGAACAUUCACACCAGGUUGUUUUGGUUUAAUAAAGACCAAAGAGAAAACAAACCUUGUUCUGUUUCUGACUACCUCAGGGUUUCUUUUAAAAUCUUCACUUUUUUAUGAACAUUCGAUUUAUGGUGCACUUUAACCUUCCUCCUCUGUAUGGGGGUCCCAUGAUUCUCCAAUAUUAUCAAAACAUGAAAAACAUAUUUGCGGCCAAAAUAUUUUCUUUGCCUUGUCCAACAGUCCAAAGGUCUUCCUGCCUUAAUAAAAAAAACUUAGUUCAGGAGAAGGCUUACAUUUUGUCCUUGACAUUUUGUGCACUAAAGGAAUCCAUAUUACUUCUAAGUUAAAGCUGCAGAACAUAGAACAGCCUUAGAAAAUACAUGGGUUUAAUUUUCUUACACAGUAUUCUACCUUGGCCUGUUUAGUUGAACAUGGGCUAAUAUACUCACAGGAAUUGAAGAACACAUAUGAAGAUUUUCCAUAUCCAUCUGCUGCUCAUUAGUGGGAGAGUAUUAAAUUGUUCUGUCCGUCGGUCGCAUUGAUGAACAAGUUCAAUUUGCAGUGAACACAUAACAGUUUUCUGACCAAUUCAUUGAUUUAAAAAUGGAAAGAGGCCAAGGUGUUAGCAGCUAUAUAAAUUUGAUCUUAGUCUUGCAAUAGUAAAGACUGGCUCUCUAAAUUACACAAUACGCUGGUGUGGCGCUAAGCUAAUGCUAAGCAAUGCAUGCUAGCAUACCACUAGCAUGCCCGUGAGAGGCUAUAUACGUACUAGGGUACUUUUAAAGGAGCGCUAACAUGCUAGAUGUUAACAAGCCAAUAUUAUGCUACUUGCUAAUGGCUGCCAAUGCAUGUGUCUGAACAGUCAAGAUUAGGGGAAAGAAUACAGUGAUUUAUAUAAUGAGGCAUAGAAAGAAUGUGUGAUUUCUUGAAAUAAAAUCAUUUAUACUUUUUUGAAUAUAUUUUUGAAUAUAUCUGCAGGUAACGCAAGAUAGGGAGAGUGUCUGAAACUGAGACUAAAAGAAUGAUCCUCUGACAAGAAGUGGUUGAUAUAAGAGUCAGAAGAAGUGCUUAAUGCUGAAAUCAAUGAGUUUAGAAAUGUUGUGAUUAACAUUAUGAUUUGUGUAAUAUAAUUGUGUAAUAAAUAAAAAGAAGUGCUGUGGUACACAGUCAAUCUUAAGAAUAAAAAGGAGAAGUGUGUGAACUGUUGGAAAUAUACAGGAAGGAUGUUCAGGACAUGACUCACAUAGUGGUCAGGUCAUGAUGCACAUGAUGGACACAAGUGUCCAGGAAAGGCCUAAAAAGUAAAGAAUGUUUUUGUUGUUGUACUGUAUAAAUACAAGGUGCAAGAGCUAAAAAGUUCAGUUUGUGCUUCAUCUCUCCCCCUCACACCAGGACCCUGUCAUGCCUCAGGAAAGGAGGAUUGUGGACUUGAAAGAACUCACGAGAGGAGCAGAAAAGUUUUUAUCGACUAAGCCGGAGUGAAGAAGGAUUAUUUCUCCGAGUUUGUUUCGCAACAAGAAAGAAUUGGAUUAUUUCUCUGCUUCCUCUCGCCACAACUGCCAUCAGACCACAAGAGUGCUUCGCCCAGGGGGAAGCAGCCCCGUACUGGGCGGCUUAGGGCGUCGGCUCUUCCGGAGCAGUGAGGACUGAACGUACCGAGGGCCUAAGGUUGUGUCCUCUCCCACCAGUGGGCAACAGGUUCAGAAUAUAAUUUUAUUUUUGACACAACGCCACAGCACAUUUAUAUUAUAUUUUGAUCUGUGAAGAUUCACCACUGGUUUAAGUCUAUUCUCUGAAAAACCCAGUUACAUGCCCCUGACACCGUUGAGGUGUUUAAAACCCUUUUCCGGCAAUCAACAAGUGCCAGGAUCAUGAGAGGUGAGCUGUCAUGAAUGAGUGUGGUCGCAUGGAGCACCCCGAGCACCAGGCUGUUCCUCGGUAGUGCACGUGCGGCGGCAGCGGGGCGGACACCCAGACGGAUGACAGUCAGGAGCUGGACGAGUCACCUCGACCAUAGGCCUAGGCAGAAACGCAGGUGACCGGAGGACGGUCUCGAGUGAGGGACCUGGGGAGUGAAGUGGCACAGCCAGCACCCACUCCGGCCCCACGGGUUCUUACCCCUUACACGGAGGGCCUAUCAAGCUACGGGUGGGCCGUAGCCUGAGAUCUAACCGCAUCUGCUCGGCUUCAAAUGGAAUAAAAAUCAUCUCUAAAGAGAAGACACAACUUCUACUGCAGAGAGAUGUGGAGGCACAAUGUGUCCUGCUGGGAUAAUGCGUCUGUCUGCAGUGUGGGCGGUCAGGUUGGAGCGCCAGCUGGAGGUAAACGGGGGAACAUGCUUCCCUGCCGCGUGCAGCCGCCUCAAACACACCCAGCCUACGCUUCAGUGCUUUAAAAAACCUGGUUCUGGUCGAGUUCUGCACAGAGGCACAACGUUCCUGUGGAGCUGCUUCAGGGAGAUGUUCUUCAAAAUGUCACCUCAUAUAUCUUUACUUUUCCACAUGACAUUAGAAAAAGAAAUUCAACAGUUUUAACAAUUUAUACUACAGUUCAAAUUUGUUGAUAAUUUAAGAGUUAUUUCAAAUUAUUAUUUAUGUCAAGUUACAAAGAUUACAAUAAAUUAAAUGCUACUUUUGUUCUACACACUUCACCACCAUGCCUAAAAAGUUAUUACUUACUAACUUUAUUCAUUUCUUUUACCAUGAACUUAUUUAACUUUAUUUAUAAUAGUGCUUUCAUUAAAACAUUUUAAUUUAAAAUUGACCUUAUUCCUCAAUUGCUACUACUAAAAAUGGUUAACACUUCUUGACUCUUAAUGACAUGAAAAGUAAAUAA